rnacentral:lncRNA from 1 species
GCUAGAUAUGCAGCUACUAGUAGAAGAGGAUAUGAGAAUAUCUUGCUUGCACGAUUUGUGUGUAUGGUGAUAUAAUUUCUGUUAUUUUAUCCUUCCAUUGUACAUUGAACUUACUGACUUAUUCUUGGCAUUGCAAGAAGGGUAGUGAAGGGGCAUAAGCUAAAUAAUAUUUAGAUAGCUUGUGUAACACAGGAUAUCAUAAUAUGAAAAGAAGCCCAUGUUUCUCUCUGGAAUUGAAGUCACAAGAUGGAAAAUUAUUCAUAAUUGCAAUCAUAACAUACCAUACAAUAGAGAGUUUCCUGCCAAGGAAACUUUGAUUUCAAAGACCUUACGCAAGUCGCAUGUAGUCGUGACUUUUUUUUUUUUUGCAAGAAGCUCCUGCCAGCCUUCAAACUCAACACAACCCAGGUCAGCUCAGGGAUGGAAGGGACUUGAUUGGCAUAAAAUAAUUCCUCAGACAAAGGACUGAGUGUAUAGCUUCAAUGGGAACACUGUGCAUCUAGGUCUUUAUAAGGAAGGUUGCCCUGGGCUCGUCCAACACAGGUGAUAUCCACAUCAUGGGUACUACCAAGAUUUUCCUGCUCCUUCUCUCAGUGGCCCUGUUGGCCCUGAGCUCAGCUCAAGGAACACCCAAGGAAGCCCCAAGACAGCAACCUGCUGAACCUGAACCAGCCCCAAGGCAACAAACUAGGAAAAGUAAAGGAGAACCAGGCGAACCACCUGAAGGAGAACCAGGUCCACCACCUGAAGGAAGGAGCCAUCUCAGACCUAGCCACAAGCCUACUCACGCCAAUAUCUUCAAGGAGAGAAGAGAAGAAGAAAUAGGAGAACCAGGCGAACCACCUGAAGGAGAACCAGGCGAACCACCUGAAGGAGAACCAGGCGAACCACCUGAAGGAGAACCAGGUGCACCACCUGAAGGUAAGUAAUAUGUCUAUCUCUAAACACUCCUUUCUUUCCCCGUUCCUUGAGGACCCUAGACCUUGUCUCUCAUUUGAAACCAUUUGGCACAUCCACUCUUAAAGUUCAGUACCAAGAAAGAGAGGGUAAUAAUGAACUAAGAGGGUGGUCAGCUUAAAAGGCUUUGUUUUCUCUUGCCAUUGCAUAGCUCUCAUAUUUCCACCAGAGAUUUUUCCAGAUCAAAAAUUCAAAAUUAUUUUGCCAUCUUUUCCCAAAGCAUAGUUUGCUUUUUUCCAUUGCCUAAUAUCCUAGAUCAAACAUUUCAAGAUCACUUUGUAAUAUUUAAUGCAAUGUUCUCUUCAUG